rnacentral:rRNA from 1 species
GAUGAACGCUAGCUACAGGCUUAACACAUGCAAGUCGAGGGGUAACGAGAGGAAAGCUUGCUUUCCUUGUCGACGACCGGCGCACGGGUGAGUAACGCGUAUCCAACCUGCCCCCAACUAGGGAAUAACCCUGCGAAAGUAAGACUAAUACCCUAUAAUUUCCUCAGAUGUCAUCUGACGAGGAAUAAAGAUUUAUCGGUUGUGGAUGGGGAUGCGUCUGAUUAGCUUGUUGGCGGGGUAACGGCCCACCAAGGCAACGAUCAGUAGGGGUUCGGAGAGGAAGGUCACCCACAGUGGAAGUGAGACACGGUCGAAACUCCUACGGGGGGCACCAGUGAGGAAUAUUGGUCAAUGGGCGGAAGCCUGAACCAGCCAAGUAGCGUGCAGGAUGACGGCCCUAUGGGUUGUAAACUGCUUUUAUACAGGAAUAAAGUUAGCCACGUGUGGUUAUUUGUAGGUACUGUAUGAAUAAGGACCGGCUAAUUCCGUGCCAGCCGCCGCGGUAA